rnacentral:lncRNA from 11 species
UAGUGAAAUUCACAUGUUGGUUUCCAUUCUGUAGGUGGAUAUACAGAGUGAUUUUCCUGCUUGGUAUUGCUUGCUCUGUGGGAAUAGCUGAAUACCUUCCUCAAGAGAUAGAGCCCCAUGCAAAUCAGUAUGAUGAGUGCUGCAGCACCGUUCAGAGUUACAGAAACAGAUCCCUCAACCUCUGAGGAUGCCUGCCAUAGAUGUGGGUGAAACAUCAC